rnacentral:rRNA from 1 species
CGCAGGAAAAGAAACUAACCAGGAUUCCCUUAGUAGCGGCGAGCGAAGCGGGAAAAGCCCAAUAUGAAAAGCCUUUUUUGGCGUUGUAUUUUGAGCGUCCUUGAGGUGUCAGUUCAGGAAAGUGUGCAUGAAAAUGCCCGCCGUGGAGGGUUAAAGCCCCGUCCAUCCUGGACACGACAUCCUCGUACACGGACGUUUCAGUCGAGUCGGGUAGCUUGAGAAUGCUGCCCUAAGCGGUGAUAAAUCUCAUCGAAGGCUAAAUACUGGUGGGAGACCGAUAGUGAACAAGUACCGUGAGGGAAAGUUGACAAGCACUUUGAAAAGAGGGUGAAAAGAACCUGAAACCGUUACGGGGGAAGCGGAUUGCGUUGUAUUGAAAAGGGGCGUACUGUUCAGCAUAAAUUCUAUUUGUGUGUAGUCAGUGCGUUUCUAACCCGUCGUGGGCUUUGCACGGUCGAUUUUGGGCUGUGUGUGGCUGAGGUAUCCCCAUUUUUUUGGGUUGAUGACGAUGGGGCGCCAACGCGAUACGACCCGUCUUGAAACACGGACCAAGGAGUCCAGCAUGGCUGCGAGUCAAAGGGUGGUAAAACCUGAGGGCGCAGUGAAAGCAAUUGUUGCAAAACGUUGCAGUUUGAGGCGGCCUAGGAUCGUUGAUCCUAGGUCCGACCUAGAGCAGUUAUGCUGGUACCCGAAAGAUGGUGAACUAUGCUUGAGUAGGGUGAAGCCAGAGGAAACUCUGGUGGAAGCUCGUAGCGAUGCUGACGUGCAAAUCGCUCGUCUAACUCGGGUAUAGGGGCGGAAGACUAAUCGAACCAUCUAGUAGCUGGUUUCCUCCGAAGUUUCUCUCAGGAUAGCAGGCCGACGAAAUUCUAUGUUGUUGUGUGUGGUAAAGCGAAUGAUUAGCGUAUUUGGGGGCAAUUAGCUUUCAGACGAUUCUCAAACUUUAAAUACGCACGGAUGUUGCUGCUUUUUUUGAGCGGCAUCGUCAAAAACGUCGGCCUUGUGGGCCACUUUUGGUAAGCAGAACUGGCGAUACGGGAUGAACCGUAAGCGUGGUUAAGGCGCCAAAUUGUCCGCUUAUAGAUCCCAAAAAAGGUGUUGAUUCAUCGAGACAGCAGGACGGUGGCCAUGGAAGUCGGAAUCCGCUAAGGAGUGUGUAACAACUCACCUGCCGAAUGAAUUAGCCCUGAAAAUGGAUGGCGCUGAAGCGGGCAGCCGACACCACGUCGUCUGACCAAAGUGGAUAUCAGAUGAGUAGGAGGACGUGGCGGUCGUAUCGAAGCGUGCGUGCGAACGUGCGUGGAACGGCCGCUAGUGCAGAUCUUGGUGGUAGUAGCAAAUAUUCAAACGUGAACCUUGAAGGGCGAAGCGGGGAAGGGUUCCACGCGAACAUUGAUUGAGCGUGGGUAAGUCGUUCCUAAGCCGAGUGGCAAUAGCUAAUUAUCGAGCGAAAGGGAAGUAGGUUGAUAUUCCUACACACGGAUGUGGAUGCGGUGACGCACUACUGAGGCGAUGACGUCGGCGAUGGCGCUAGGCAGAGUUUUCUUUUCUGUUUAACCGAACCUAGCACGCUGUGUGGAAUCCGCUUGUCGGGAGAAACACGCGUGUUUGGGCAGAGCGCUGGGAUUUUUCCAGCGUCUAGCUCGCCAUCGACGGCCCUUGAAAAAUCGUCUGCUGGCCAAACCAUCUUUUUGUGUUUGGUGUGAAAAUUCCACGCCGUAACGUACCGAUAACCGCAUCAGGUCCCCAAGGUGAACAGCCUCUGCUCGAUAUGGAAAAUGCAGGUAAGGGAAGUCGGCAAAUUAGACCCGUAACUUUGGGAAAAGGGUUGGCUCUAGUGCUGCGUGGGAGCGGUUGCCGAACUGUGAGGACUGCUCUGGCUGGCUAGGAUGCGGCGCGGGGCAACCUGUGCUGUUUCUAGGUCGGAAAGGCGGUAUUUGCUUUCGAUGACGCCCACAGCAUGCAGCAAACUAGAACUGCAACGGGCAAAGGGAAUCCGACUGUUUAAUUAAAACAAAGCAUUGCGAAGGCCGAGGCCGGUGUUUACGCAAU